UUGAUUGAUAGGAAUAUGCAAUUGCAGUAGGCGUCCAAGCAGCAGUAGUGGAUUAUAUGACGACCCUCUGCGUCUGAUAUCGUCGAGUGUCACUGCAGGGUGGAAUUCAUAUACCAUUUAUUUAACAGAAGAGGCUUCUAAGUUAUCGAUCAAUCGAUACAAGGUAUAGAGUUGUGAUUUUUUCAAGCUAAGAUCAUCUAAUAUCAUUCUUUUUUGCAGUUAUGCUGGUAUGUAAGCCUCUGGGUCUGAUCAAAUGAGAGUGUAUCUAGAACUUUCAACUUGAUACUUUGACCAUAUCGUUUGAGUUUGCCUCAUGAAAUUUGAUUGCAAUCUACUACUGUUUAUCUUGCACUCUUUGAUGAUAGAUAACGCAGCCAUGCGUUGAGCACAGACCGAACUACACAUAUAUGAAUCGCAGCCUUAGU
rnacentral:lncRNA from 1 species